rnacentral:rRNA from 1 species
CCUACGGGGAGCAGCAGUGAGGAAUAUUGGUCAAUGGACGAGAGUCUGAACCAGCCAAGUAGCGUGAAGGAUGACUGCCCUAUGGGUUGUAAACUUCUUUUAUAUGGGAAUAAAAUGUUCCACGUGUGGGAUUUUGUAUGUACCAUAUGAAUAAGGAUCGGCUAACUCCGUGCCAGCAGCCGCGGUAAUACGGAGGAUCCGAGCGUUAUCCGGAUUUAUUGGGUUUAAAGGGAGCGUAGGUGGAUUGUUAAGUCAGUUGUGAAAGUUUGCGGCUCAACCGUAAAAUUGCAGUUGAAACUGGCAGUCUUGAGUACAGUAGAGGUGGGCGGAAUUCGUGGAGUAGCGGUGAAAUGCUUAGAUAUCACGAAGAACUCCGAUUGCGAAGGCAGUUCACUGGACUGCAACUGACACUGAGGCUCGAAAGUGUGGGUAUCAAACAGGAUUAGAUACCCCUGUAGUC